rnacentral:lncRNA from 1 species
UACACAUAACUAAGCAUCAUUAUUAUAGAAUUGAGCAUAACUUGAAACUAUUCAUAACAUAUAAAAGUUCCAAUUGUUGAGCAUAUUGAAGUGACAACACCUAAAAUUAAAAAGUUAAAAAAGCUUAAAAACAACAAAAUAAAUUUUAAAUUAACUUAGAAAUUCAAUACACUGAUCUGACCAAUUGCCAAUUUGUGCGGCUGCUCCUGCCUUUAGCCCUCGGUGUUGUUAGGUGCUAGUUGUUGCCUUCUGGAUCCAGUUCAUCAGAGCUCUAGUAGCCGACUGCCGGUCACCCUGUUGCUAGGAGCACAACUGUCUUAAGGGCUUCCCUUACCAAUACCCUCAAACCUCAUGCCCUCAACUGUCCAGGUGCAAUUCAGUGCACAUGUGGAGUACAUUUUGCAUACCUACUACUAUCAAAGCUCAGAGAAUCAUAGUAGCCACUUUGGUCUCCUCUAAUGUCCCAACCCGAAAUAUGAUCUCUAAUAGCGUCAUAGUAAACUUUAGCCCCUCUAGCAGUAA